GACGAACGCUGGCGGCGUGCUUAACACAUGCAAGUCGAACGGAAAGGCCCUGCUUUUGUGGGGUGCUCGAGUGGCGAACGGGUGAGUAACACGUGAGUAACCUGCCCUUGACUUUGGGAUAACUUCAGGAAACUGGGGCUAAUACCGGAUAGGAGCUCCUGCUGCAUGGUGGGGGUUGGAAAGUUUCGGCGGUUGGGGAUGGACUCGCGGCGUAUCAGCUUGGUGGGUGGGUUGUGGCGUACAAAGGCUUUGACGGGUAGCCGGCCUGAGAGGGUGACCGGCCCCAUUGGCCUGCGGGAGGGAGCAGUACCCUACCGUCCGCAAGCGGCGGGAAUAUUACCGAGCUGCGCGGAGUGCGUGAGCAGCGUCUCCGGGUCGGGAAGCUCGGCUUUUGGGGUUGAACCCGUUUGCGCGUGUCUAGGCGCGUGUUUACGGUAACUGGUCAGAAAGCCACGGCUUACUACCUG
rnacentral:rRNA from 1 species